GGAUGUAAGGGCGAUCUGGCUGUGACAUCUGUCACCCCGUUGAUCGCCAGAGUUGAUUUGGCUGCUCUGGCUGGUUAGGCAGGUUUCUCCUUCGUCCCUCGCUGCUCCAUGUGCGUCCCUCCCAAAGCUGCGCACUCGGACGAAGAGUACGACCUUCCCCGACAGACGAGGGCUAUCCUUCGGUAGAGUGUAUUCGAAUAGCUGCUAUCCCUGCUAAAACCUCCAAACAAGCUCUCAGGGUCCCUUUGUAGGAUAACAUAAGGUAGUCAAGCUUCCAUACUCCAGACACAUCCAACUGAGGUGCUGCAUGGGGCAGUCGGCCUUUCUU
rnacentral:snRNA from 1 species